rnacentral:rRNA from 1 species
UACGAAGGGUGCAAGCGUUACUCGGAAUUACUGGGCGUAAAGCGUGCGUAGGUGGUUUGUUAAGUCUGGUGUGAAAGCCCCGGGCUCAACCUGGGAAUGGCAAUGGAUACUGGCAAGCUAGAGUGCGGUAGAGGGUAGUGGAAUUCCCGGUGUAGCGGUGAAAUGCGUAGAGAUCGGGAGGAACACCAGUGGCGAAGGCGGCUACCUGGACCAGCACUGACACUGAGGCACGAAAGCGUGGGGAGCAAACAGG